rnacentral:rRNA from 1 species
GACGAACGCUGGCGGCGUGCUUAACACAUGCUAGUCGAACGGAAAGGCCCUGCUUUUGUGGGGUGCUCGAGUGGCGAACGGGUGAGUAACACGUGAGUAACCUGCCCUUGACUUUGGGAUAACUUCAGGAAACUGGGGCUAAUACCGGAUAGGAGCUCCUGCUGCAUGGUGGGGGUUGGAAAGUUUCGGCGGUUGGGGAUGGACUCGCGGCUUAUCAGCUUGUUGGUGGGGUAGUGGCUUACCAAGGCUUUGACGGGUAGCCGGCCUGAGAGGGUGACCGGCCACAUUGGGACUGAGAUACGGCCCAGACUCCUACGGGAGGCAGCAGUGGGGAAUAUUGCACAAUGGGCGGAAGCCUGAUGCAGCAACGCCGCGUGCGGGAUGACGGCCUUCGGGUUGUAAACCGCUUUCGCCUGUGACGAAGCGUGAGUGACGGUAAUGGGUAAAGAAGCACCGGCUAACUACGUGCCAGCAGCCGCGGUGAUACGUAGGGUGCGAGCGUUGUCCGGAUUUAUUGGGCGUAAAGGGCUCGUAGGUGGUUGAUCGCGUCGGAAGUGUAAUCUUGGGGCUUAACCCUGAGCGUGCUUUCGAUACGGGUUGACUUGAGGAAGGUAGGGGAGAAUGGAAUUCCUGGUGGAGCGGUGGAAUGCGCAGAUACCAGGAGGAACACCAGUGGCGAAGGCGGUUCUCUGGGCCUUUCCUGACGCUGAGGAGCGAAAGCGUGGGGAGCGAACAGGCUUAGAUACCCUGGUAGUCCACGCUGUAAACGGUGGGUACUAGGUGUGGGGUCCAUUCCACGGGUUCCGUGCCGUAGCUAACGCUUUAAGUACCCCGCCUGGGGAGUACGGCCGCAAGGCUAAAACUCAAAGGAAUUGACGGGGCCCCGCACAAGCGGCGGAGCAUGCGGAUUAAUUCGAUGCAACGCGUAGAACCUUACCUGGGUUUGACAUGGAUCGGGAGUGCUCAGAGAUGGGUGUGCCUCUUUUGGGGUCGGUUCACAGGUGGUGCAUGCCUGUCGUCAGCUCGUGUCGUGAGAUGUUGGGUUAAGUCCCGCAACGAGCGCAACCCUUGUUCACUGUUGCCAGCACGUUAUGGUGGGGACUCAGUGGAGACCGCCGGGGUCAACUCGGAGGAAGGUGGGGAUGACGUCAAGUCAUCAUGCCCCUUAUGUCCAGGGCUUCACGCAUGCUACAAUGGCUGGUACAGAGAGUGGCGAGCCUGUGAGGGUGAGCGAAUCUCGGAAAGCCGGUCUCAGUUCGGAUUGGGGUCCGCAACUCGACCUCAUGAAGUCGGAGUCGCUAGUAAUCGCAGAUCAGCAACGCUGCGGUGAAUACGUUCCCGGGGCU